rnacentral:rRNA from 1 species
GUCCACGCUGUAAACGUUGGGCACUAGGUGUGGCGACCCGAUCAACGGUUGCCGUGCCGAAGCUAACGCAUUAAGUGCCCCGCCUGGGGAGUACGGCCGCAAGGCUAAAACUCAAAGGAAUUGACGGGUCCCCCGCACAAGCGGCGGAGCAUGCGGCUUAAUUCGAUGCGACCCGAAGAACCUUACCUGGGUUUGACAUCAUGGGAAAAGCCGUAGAGAUACGGUGUCCGAAAGGGCCCAUGACAGGUGGUGCAUGGCUGUCGU